rnacentral:rRNA from 1 species
UACGAAGGGAGCUAGCGUUGUUCGGAAUCACUGGGCGUAAAGCGCACGUAGGCGGAUGUGUCAGUCAGGGGUGAAAUCCCGGAGCUCAACUUCGGAACUGCCUUUGAUACAGCACGUCUUGAGUCCGGGAGAGGUGAGUGGAACUCCGAGUGUAGAGGUGAAAUUCGUAGAUAUUCGGAAGAACACCAGUGGCGAAGGCGGCUCACUGGCCCGGUACUGACGCUGAGGUGCGAAAGCGUGGGGAGCAAACAGG